AGGGUUUCACCAUGUUGGCCAGGCUGAUCUUAAAUUCCUAACCUCGUGAUCUGCCCACCUCAGCCUCCCAAAGUGCUAGGAUUACAGGCGUGAGGCACAGUGCCAGGCCUUGUUUGAUGUUUUCAGAUUCACCCUUUAUCUUACAUGUAGAAUGGCCGAAUUACUUACUUACUUCUUUAUGCUCUACAGGUCUUUGUUCAUACUAGAAUAGCAUUUAUUAUCCCAUAGGUCAUGGUUUGACUGCUUUUGUGUUCCAUGCACACUGUAGGCACUCAGUAAAGAGCUGCCUUGGUUUUUAGCUUGGCGGUCUUAAUAGAUGCAUUUUAUACUGAGGUUUUAAACUGUCGUCAUUGCUAAAAACUAGAUUUGUCAACUUGUUUAGUACCUCAUCAUCGGCUUACUGUGGAUUCUGCUACCUUGACCAACAAGGUAGCAGAGUUUUAAUUAUAAUUUCUUCUUUAAUAAGACGUUUUCUGAGGCAGGUAAACUGGAAGUAUAUUGAUACUUCUUAUACAGUAGAAUAUGAAAGUGUGGCACGUGGCAUCUUGAAAGUACUUUAAAUUGUGUACCUUUGAGUUCUACACUGAAAAAUAAAACGGCUACAAACAACUUGACACCCUUUCCUGCCCUCAAAUUGUUUAGAACUGAAAAUAGUGUUUCGUUGUACAUAUUUGUAUGCCAUAAAGUAAAAUUUUUUUAACAUCAGAAAACAUCUAAAUAUAUUACCAGUUCUUUAAGAAUAAACACCCCUUCCCUUAUGUAUUAUACUAUUACUAAUUACUUUAAAAAAAUUAGUAUUAUUUUUAAUAUAAAAUAUUUGGCAACUUGACUUUUAUUAUACUUUGGUUGCUCUUUUCACAUCUUACAGUUUAAAGUACUUUCUGAUAUCUUGUCUUUGCAAUGUUUUAGUGAUGAGAAGACCCAUUGAUUAGACUGACUACACAGUACCUCUGAGAAUUAUGGGUAUUAUCUCUAAGUUCCUAAAAGGAGACUUGUGCACAGGGCUAGUUCCUGGCAGUAAGAAACACACUGCCUUAGCUUUUUGGAAAGUUUACUGUCCGUUCCAUAUUGACCACUAGUGGAAAAUUUGUUGUUAGGCAUUUAGCAGGUAAUAAAUGUGCUCCAAAUUGCUUUUCCUUCUCUUAUUUUUAUUCUUAUGAGACAGUAAGGCAGUUGUUAUUUCUACUUACGAAUUAGGGGUCCUGGGAUAUACGUGCCUAAAUUAUAUUGACAGCCAGUUGUGCAGCUGCCUUACACAACCUAUCUACAAUGUUUUUUCAGUGAGACCUACUGACUUAUACACAUUGAAUUGUACUCCAGUGUGAAGUCCUGUAUAAAUAAAAGAAAAUGAACUUGCAUCAAGUUGA